CUGGCUUUGGCCUGGGUUGAAGGCAAGUUUCUCUCUGCUUGAUAUUUUGCUGUUUGUCCUGUAGGACACCAUGGAAAUUAUUGCUGGUGUUUUACACCCUGCUACAGGAACAGUUGUGUCUAGAGCUGUGGUUUCAGGUUUAGAUCACCAUGAGUCAGCUGCAGAAGCCAAUGUGUCUCUUUAGCUUCAUGCUGCCCUGGUCAGUUGUCUGUGAGAAGGGAAGUGGGUUUGAGGACGCUUAGUGACUCUCUCUUGAAAGCUCAGUGCUCUGUGCAGAAGGAGAGAGCUUUGCCUGUUGUAUUUGGAGCAGUGGAAGUGAUCAGAUUGUACCAUCUACUCUGGUUUUGGUUAAUAUGCAUGAAAAGAUGUGCUAAUCCUAUAA